GUGGGGAAUCUUGCGCAAUGGGCGAAAGCCUGACGCAGCCAUGCCGUGUGAAUGAUGAAGGUCUUAGGAUUGUAAAAUUCUUUCACCGGGGACGAUAAUGACGGUACCCGGAGAAGAAGCUCCGGCUAACUUCGUGCCAGCAGCCGCGGUAAUACGAAGGGGGCUAGCGUUGCUCGGAAUUACUGGGCGUAAAGGGCGCGUAGGCGGACAGCUUAGUCAGAGGUGAAAGCCCAGGGCUCAACCUUGGAAUUGCCUUUGAUACUGGCUGUCUUGAGUUUGGGAGAGGUGAGUGGAACUCCGAGUGUAGAGGUGAAAUUCGUAGAUAUUCGGAAGAACACCAGUGGCGAAGGCGACUCACUGGCCCAAUACUGACGCUGAGGCGCGAAAGCGUGGGGAGCAAACAGGAUUAGAAACCCCUGUAGUCC
rnacentral:rRNA from 1 species